GAGUAACACGUGAGUAACCUGCCUCUGAGAGUGGGAUAGCUUCUGGAAACGGAUGGUAAUACCGCAUAACAUCAUGGAUUCGCAUGUUUCUAUGAUCAAAGAUUUAUCGCUUAGAGAUGGACUCGCGUCUGAUUAGCUAGUUGGUAAGGUAACGGCUUACCAAGGCGACGAUCAGUAGCCGGACUGAGAGGUUGAUCGGCCACAUUGGGACUGAGACACGGCCCAGACUCCUACGGGAGGCAGCAGUGGGGAAUAUUGCACAAUGGGGGAAACCCUGAUGCAGCGAUGCCGCGUGGAGGAAGAAGGUUUUCGGAUUGUAAACUCCUGUUGAAGAGGACGAUAAUGACGGUACUCUUUUAGAAAGCUCCGGCUAACUACGUGCCAGCAGCCGCGGUAAUACGUAGGGAGCGAGCGUUGUCCGGAAUUACUGGGUGUAAAGGGAGCGUAGGCGGGAUGGCAAGUCAGAUGUGAAAACUAUGGGCUCAACCCAUAGACUGCAUUUGAAACUGUUGUUCUUGAGUGAGGUAGAGGUAAGCGGAAUUCCUGGUGUAGCGGUGAAAUGCGUAGAGAUCAGGAGGAACAUCGGUGGCGAAGGCGGCUUACUGGGCCUUUACUGACGCUGAGG
rnacentral:rRNA from 1 species